rnacentral:rRNA from 1 species
AUUGAACGCUGGCGGCAGGCUUAACACAUGCAAGUCGAGCGGAGUGAUGGUGCUUGCACUAUCACUUAGCGGCGGACGGGUGAGUAAUGCUUAGGAAUCUGCCUAUUAGUGGGGGACAACAUCUCGAAAGGGAUGCUAAUACCGCAUAAGACCUACGGGAGACAGUAGGGGAUCACUUGUGACCUUGCGCUAAUAGAUGAGCCUAAGUCGGAUUAGCUAGUUGGUGGGGUAAAGGCCUACCAAGGCGACGAUCUGUAGCGGGUCUGAGAGGAUGAUCGUCGGCACUGGGACGGGGGUACGGACCAGACUCCUUCGGGAGGCAGCAGUAGGGAAUAUUGGACAAGGGGGGGAACCCUGAUCCAGCCAUGCGGCGUGUGUAAAGAAGGCCCUAUGGUUGUAAAGCACUUUAAGCGAGGAGGAGGCUCUUUUGGUUAAUACCCAAGAUGAGUGGACGUUACUCGCAGAAUAAGCACCGGCUAACUCUGUGCCAGCCGCCGCGGUAA